AUUGAACGCUGGCGGCAGGCCUAACACAUGCAAGUCGAGCGAGCGGAGGACGGGUGAGUAAUGUAUGGGGACUGCCCGAUAGAGGGGGAUAACUACUGGAAACGGUAGCUAAUACCGCAUACUAUCGGAUAACCCAUAUGGGAUUAGCUAGUAUGUGAGGUAAUGUCUCACCUAGGCGACGCUCCCUAGCUGGUCUGAGAGGCUGAUCAGCCACCCUGGGACUGAGACACGGCCCAAACUCCUACGGAGGCAGCAGUGGAGAAUAUUGCAAAAUGGGCGCAAGCCUGAUGCAGCCAUGCCGCGUGUAUGAAGAAGGCCCUAGGGUUGUAAAGUACUUUCAGUCGUGAGGCGUUACCGACAGAAGAAGCACCGGCUAACUCCGUGCCAGCAGCCGCGGUAAUUC
rnacentral:rRNA from 1 species